AAGAUUUUAUUUUUUUCUAAAAAUAAAAAAACCUGUAUCGGGUGAAAGACGACGAACCCUAACUCACAUACACCUCUGUUACCUCCAUCUUUAUCGUUUUCUAUGGCAUCGAAGGAUGUGAAGACGAGAGAGUAGGCGAUUGUUACUCAAGCUAAACUAGUGAGUGAAGGGAUUAAAGCUUCGAGCAAUGCCAUUAUCAGGAUCUGCAAGUAUUUGUUUGCCGGUGGAGUAUGAGUUCUAAGAGUGAUGUUACUCCGUUGGAGAGACUGAAUUUUACAACAGAUUGAAGUACAUAUAUGAAGGACUGAAGGUUUCCGUGGAUUGAUCGAAGGGAAUUGUGCUAAUUUUGUUUGUAUUGUGCUUUGAUCCAUGUUCGGUGGAUAUUGUUAUCUGUUACUUCUGCUCAUUUUGUUGGUCUCUGUUCAAUUGCUUAUAUUAUCUCCUUGACAAAGACAUCUUUUUUUACAUCUCCUAUGUGUUCAGACAAACAAAUCUCCUUAUCAAUAGAGAUUAAUGGUCCAUCGCUAUUGACAGUGCUGCGUCUCUGUAUCAGGAAGGAUCCAAAAGCAUUGUACAAUGAUGGCCUCCAUCUUUUAUUGGAGUUGUUCCGUACAUUGGCCUUUAACUUUGCAGUUUAACAGUCUCUAAAAAUACUGGUUGGUCAAAUCGAAAACAAAUAACUCGGAGAUUACUCAUCAUCAUCACCAUCUGUCUUGAAGUAACCCAUAACAAAGCCUUAGCCAGAGACUGCAGAAACUCAAGAAAAGUCAAAGAAGGCCAAAGAAAUGCAAAAAGAAGUGAAGAAAGAAGAAGCAGAGGAAAGAGGAGAGGACAGAGUUUUUGCAUUACGUUAGUUUGAGACGCUACUUUUUUGGCAUUGAUUUCUUAUCUCUGUUUCUUCUUUUAUAAAAGCAUGGUGUGAACAGAGUUGCACUGCGUAGUUUAAAGUUGAUUUUGAUUUCUUCAGUUUUUUUUUCUUUCUUUUUUGGAAAUUAAGUUUCAGAUUGUCUGUCUUCAAAUAAAAGCUUCAGAUUGUCUUUAAAA